CCUACGGGGGGCUGCAGUGGGGAAUAUUGGACAAUGGGCGAAAGCCUGAUCCAGCCAUGCCGCGUGUGUGAAGAAGGCCUUCGGGUUGUAAAGCACUUUCAGUGGGGAAGAAAGCCUUGGGGCUAAUACCCUCGAGGAAGGACAUCACCCACAGAAGAAGCACCGGCUAACUCCGUGCCAGCAGCCGCGGUAAUACGGAGGGUGCGAGCGUUAAUCGGAAUUACUGGGCGUAAAGCGCGCGUAGGCGGUCUGAUAAGCCGGUUGUGAAAGCCCCGGGCUCAACCUGGGAACGGCAUCCGGAACUGUCAGGCUAGAGUGCAGGAGAGGACGGUAGAAUUCCCGGUGUAGCAGUGAAAUGCGUAGAGAUCGGGAGGAAUACCAGUGGCGAAGGCGGCCUUCUGGACUGACACUGACGCUGAGGUGCGAAAGCGUGGGUAGCAAACAGGAUUAGAUACCCGAGUAGUC
rnacentral:rRNA from 1 species